rnacentral:lncRNA from 1 species
GAACAGCCAGCACAGAGUUUCCCGCGCAGGAGAGGACUUGACGUGUCCAGGUUGCACGCAGAGGCAGGAUGGCUGCGACAGAGGCAGCAAGGGAAGCAGGGAGGGUCCCGGAGGAGGGCGGGGGAAGGUAGGAGAACUCUCAGCCAACCAGAACCUUUGAUUAACCAGAACCCCUCCCUUCAUGCUGGCUCACAAGGCUUUUGCCACUAAUUUGGCAAAGGAGUGAAUAAUGUGUUAAAACUCAGGUGUCUUAAAUUCUGGUUCCCCAGAAGGGCAGGAACCAUACAUCCUGGCCACCAGGGGCCAGACAAACAGCACGAGAGAUGAGUAGCAGGGAAGGAGCCCAGAACCAAAUGAAGACAGGAACCAGUGGUUGCUAAACACCAGACAGAGGGGGCUACACGGGGCCUAGAGGACGACAGGAAGAGAAGGGGGAGGAUGGGGGUGAAAGGAGAAAACUUCCAGAGGAUUCCACGUCAGAUUCUAGAUCAAGCAGGACCUUGCUGGUGGCAAGUGACAGCGACCUAACCUGAAUGGGCUUAACUGAAAUGAGUGUUAUUGACAUAAGCAGCUGAAAGACCAGACGUGGAUUAGGCCCAGACUGAGAAGGGGUCUGAGCACCGUCACUGCUGCCUGGCUCAGGCCUCUCUCUGUCCUUCAGCCUGGCUCACCUCUGAUGCUUCACUCUCCGCCUGGUGGAGAGACAGCUGCAGCAGUGCCAGCCAUUGCAUCUGCUCAGCCAUCAGGAAAUGGGGAAUGUCUCUGGUUGACUUUGGAUCAUGCCCAUCUCUGAGCCCAUUGCCGUGGGCCCACAGUGUGGGGGGCGGUUCCCAGAGGGAACGGGAUGGGUUAUCAGAAGAAGAGGGAAUGUUUGCUGGUCUACCGCGGGCUUCCAACAAACAGCCACCAAAACCACAACAUUACCACUACUACUAACGAUGACAACAAUUCUCCCACUGCGCGCUCGCUCCCGGUCAGAGCGGUCAGGCUCGCCUGUGGGCCCCCUCAGGCCUCAAACAAGCCCUCAGGGACGUGCUCUUCGCCCCCUCAGACGAAGUUGUUCAUCAAACGCCUUCUAAGGCCCGGCCUCGUCCCGGGCGUCCUGGGCCCGCAGCAGGACUUCCUGCCUUCCACACGCAUUCCAGAGAGGAACAGCUGCAGAAGCCAAGUCCGUGAAGGAAGGAAAUCCUCGCUGCUCUAACAGUCUGGAAGUCUCGGCCAGCCCAGCAGUCCGGCGCAGCCAGGAAGUGCCCCCUCCCGCCUGCUCACUGGUCGGAGGCAAACACUUUUGAGGACAGGAAGGGGAGAGGUGAGGUGAGCAUCAAAGCAGCUGUGGAAUUCGGGGGCGGGCUGCCUAAAGGGGUCCUUGCCUUCUUAAUGGCUGAU